GGGUGGUCCCUAUGUUGAAUUCCUAAUGACGGUAUUGAUGUUGCCCCCGGAAAGUGUUAAUUUUGCUUUGCAUCCCUUAAAAGGGUGCCAAGCAAACACUAUAACUGGGUUCGUUAUCCCCCCUUCAAGCGAAAACAAGCACGACGGGACAGGAUGACGGUCUCAAGUUGAGCCCUUGGAUGCGGAAUGUUGUGUGGGAGUCGACGUGAAUUCGUUGCACGCCCAAACUAGCGUUGUACGCUAACGAUGGAUGACAUUCGAGUGCGACUUGUGACCCUUUCUUCAUUGAGGGGGCUCACGCGUGCCGAUGUCGACCGAGGAGUGCUACCUGGUUGAUCCUG
rnacentral:misc_RNA from 1 species